rnacentral:rRNA from 1 species
UACGUAGGGUGCGAGCGUUAAUCGGAAUUACUGGGCGUAAAGCGUGCGCAGGCGGUUUUGUAAGCCAGAUGUGAAAUCCCCGGGCUUAACCUGGGAAUGGCAUUUGGGACUGCAAGGCUGGAGUACGGCAGAGGAGACUGGAAUUUACGGUGUAGCAGUGAAAUGCGUAGAGAUCGUAAGGAAGACCAGUGGCGAAGGCGGGUCUCUGGACAGUUCCUGACACUGAGGCACGAAGGCCAGGGGAGCAAACGGG